CGGCAUUUCCAUGCCAUUCGCGCUCUAUGUCAUGCACCUUGACCUAUAGAUGGGGGUUGAGUCGUCACGUCGUCGCUUUUUCGUUUGUAGCGUCCAUCUGUCAAAGCAUCAUCGGCGCGGUCUUUACUAAUAUUCAGUCGAGAGUAAAGUAACGUUUAGUGCCUUUUCUCAUUGGCUUCUUUGGGUUAUUGGAUACAACUGGUCGCCAGAACGCAUACAGCGACUAUUUUUGGCUGACGAGUGCCACAACGCAUCACUUUAGCCAGAUCCACUUGGGGACAAGUUUCAGCCACCUGACAGAGGCAACCAGUUUCUUGAGGCUAAAAUGUCCUGGUAGAGUUCAUGAUGCCGUUGACCUUAACAAAGGCCCCAGGACCAGCGGAAGCAUCCGGAGCCCCGGGACCAGCGGAAGCAUCCGGAGCCCCGGGACCAGCGGAAGCAUCCGGAGCCCCGGGACCAGCGGAAGCAUCCGGAGCCCCGGGACCAGCGGAAGCAUCCGGAGCCCCGGGACCGCUGAACCAUCCGGAGCCCCGGGACCAGCGGAAGCAUCCGGAGCCCCGGGACCAGCGGAAGCAUCCGGAGCCCCAGGACCAGCGGAAGCAUCCGGAGCCCCGGGACCAGCGGAAGCAUCCGGAGCCCCGGGACCAGCGGAAGCAUCCGGAGCCCCGGGACCAGCUGAACCAUCCGGAGCCCCGGGACCAGCGGAAGCAUCCGGAGCCCCGGGACCAGCGGGAGCAUCCGGAGCCCCGGGACCAGCGGGAGCAUCCGGAGCCCCGGGACCAGCGGAAGCAUCCGGAGCCCCGGGACCAGCGGAAGCAUCCGGAGCCCCGGGACCAGCGGAAGCAUCCGGAGCCCCGGGACCAGCGGAAGCAUCCGGAGCCCCGGGACCAGCGGAAGCAUCCGGAGCCCCGGGACCAGCGGAAGCAUCCGGAGCCCCGGGACCAGCGGAAGCAUCCGGAGCCCCGGGACCAGCGGAAGCAUCCGGAGCCCCGGGACCAGCGGAAGCAUCCGGAGCCCCGGGACCAGCGGAAGCAUCCGGAGCCCCGGGACCAGCGGAAGCAGAACAGCCCCAUGACAUCAAAGAUCCAGCACCAUAUUCCACAAAUGGAGUUAAUGUUGGACACCGCUAAGAGCCAGGGGGGUCAGACCCAGAGCCAGGGGGGUCAGACUGUCUCCCCUCCCUCAAUCUUCCCCUAUCGCUUCACCUCGGACGGGCGUCUGUGUCACCGGGUCACCCAGGAGCCCUUCAUGUUCCAGCGGAGCUGUGACCCAGACGCCGCCCAGAGAGAGGACCAGGCCCUAUGUCUCCACGUCACCCAACACGUUCACUCUCUCCUGGAGGAGCAGCUGCACCUCUUCAGGCUCUACCUCCCACCCCUCAGCAAGGAGGUCUACCUCCCUCCUCCACCAGAGCCUCAGGGGGACCACAGGGUCUACUUUAGCCCCCACCGAGGAGCCCCCAGCCAGGGCUACGUGUACCUCUCCCCUGGGGCCCUGGAGAGCCCUGCCACCCUGUUGUUGGUGGUCCAGGACCGGGGAACGAUGCGCUGCGGGCUGUGGAGCUGGAGGGCUGCUGCCAGCCGAGGUCUGGAAAGAGGCAGCAUGAUCCCCUACGUGAAGAGGGUCCUAGAAGAGGGCAGCUCUGUCCUCCUGAUGAACCCCAACCAGGGAGGAGGUGUUGGGGAGACUCCGGAGGAGCACGUUCACCGCGUCUGGGACCUCCUGGUGUCGCGCUGCGUCUCCCGGCGUGUCGUCGUGGUAGCGCACGGUUACGGAGGCCUGGCGUUCGUGGACCUGCUGUGCCGACGCCCACAACAAGUGGUGGGGCAGGUGUGGGCGGCGGCCUUCCUGGACUCCUCCCACAGCCUGUGGCACCAGCAGUUGGACGCGGUGGGCCGGGAGUGGCUGAGGACACGCUCUAGGAGGUGGGUACUGAGCUCCAAGCCCCUGAACCAGCCGGUGGGGUCGCUGAAAGCAGGAUGCCCUCAGAUGUCAGCUGGGACACAGAGUCAUGACGCGGCUCCAUCUGUCUGCAUGGAGUCUGUGUUCAGAUUCUUCUCCAAAACGCUGAGUCCUAAACCACCCACCACCUUCAGUAUGGUGACCCGCAGCAGGGGCAUUGUGGGACAGAGCAGACCUCACAACGGGAGAGGCAUCACCAGGCCUUAUUGACAGCACCAGUGGGACAGAUCAGACCUCACAACGGGAGAGGCAUCACCAGGCCUUAUUGACAGCACCAGUGGGACAGAUCAGACCUCACAACGGGAGAGGCAUCACCAGGCCUUACUGACAGCACCAGUUGGACAGAUCAGACCUCACAACGGGAGAGGCAUCACCAGGCCUUAUUGACAGCACCAGUGGGACAGAUCAGACCUCACAACGGGAGAGGCAUCACCAGGCCUUACUGACAGCACCAGUUGGACAGAUCAGACCUCACAACGGGAGAGGCAUCACCAGGCCUUACUGACAGCACCAGUGGGACAGAUCAGACCUCACAACGGGAGAGGCAUCACCAGGCCUUACUGACAGCACCAGUGGGACAGAUCAGACCUCACAACGGGAGUGGCAUCACCAGGCCUUACUGACAGCACCAGUGGGACAGAUCAGACCUCACAACGGGAGAGGCAUCACCAGGCCUUACUGACAGCACCAGUGGGACAGAUCAGGCAUCACCAGGCCUUACUGACAGCACCAGUGAAGUACAGGAGUACAGUGGGAAUUGAGUAUUUAUCUUACGGUCAGAAAGACACGUGUCUAAUUCACGUGAAUACAUUUUACUGGACUCUGGAUGAGGUCAUCCUAAAUAUUUAGUUUCAUUUUGCUAAGACACUCCAGGGUCGGACUUGUCGACAGCAGAUUGUGGAUAAAUACUUUUUUUCAUCUUACUAUCUGUAAAACACUAAAGACAUUUAUGUAAAAUGCAUUUUUUUGGCACAUUUUUACAAAUAAAAUGUUAUCUAGAAUAAUAAAUGUACAGCAUUUAUCAACAAUUAAUAUUAAUAAUAAUAGUAUAAUAUAAUAAUAUCUCAUGGUCACCACACAACUCUGGGUAAUAUAUCUCAUGGUCACCACACAACUCUGGGUAAUAUAUCUCAUGGUCACCACACAACUCUGGGUAAUAUAUCUCAUGGUCACCACACAACUCUGGGUAAUAUAUCUCAUGGUCACCACACAACUCUGGGUAAUAUAUCUCAUGGUCACCACACAACUCUGGGUAAUAUAUCUCAUGGUCGCCACACAACUCUGGGUAAUAUAUCUCAUGGUCACCACACAACUCUGGGUAAUAUAUCUCAUGGUCACCACACAACUCUGGGUAAUAUAUCUCAUGGUCACCACACAACUCUGGGUAAUAUAUCUCAUGGUCACCACACAACUCUGGGUAAUAUAUCUAAUGGUCACCACACAACUCUGGGUAAUAUAUCUCAUGGUAACCACACAACUCUGGGUAAUAUAUCUCAUGGUCACCACACAACUCUGGGUAAUAUAUCUCAUGGUAACCACACAACUCUGGGUAAUAUAUCUCAUGGUCACCACACAACUCUGGGUAAUAUAUCUCAUGGUAACGACACAACUCUGGGUAAUAUAUCUCAUGGUAACCACACAACUCUGGGUAAUAUAUCUCAUGGUAACCACACAACUCUGGGUAAUAUAUCUCAUGGUAACCACACAACUCUGGGUAAUAUAUCUCAUGGUAACCACAACUCUGGGUAAUAUAUCUCAUGGUAACCACACAACUCUGGGUAAUAUAUCUAAUGGUCACCACACAACUCUGGGUAAUAUAUCUCAUGGUAACCACACAACUCUGGGUAAUAUAUCUCAUGGUCACCACACAACUCUGGGUAAUAUAUCUCAUGGUCACCACACAACUCUGGGUAAUAUAUCUCAUGGUCACCACACAACUCUGGGUAAUAUAUCUCAUGGUCACCACACAACUCUGGGUAAUAUAUCUCAUGGUAACCACACAACUCUGGGUAAUAUAUCUCAUGGUCACCACACAACUCUGGGUAAUAUAUCUCAUGGUCACCACACAACUCUGGGUAAUAUAUCUCAUGGUCACCACACAACUCUGGGUAAUAUAUCUCAUGGUCACCACACAACUCUGGGUAAUAUAUCUCAUGGUCGCCACACAACUUUGGGUAAUAUAUCUCAUGGUAACCACACAACUCUGGGUAAUAUAUCUCAUGGUCACCACACAACUCUGGGUAAUAUAUCUCAUGGUCACCACACAACUCUGGGUAAUAUAUCUCAUGGUCACCACACAACUCUGGGUAAUAUAUCUCAUGGUCACCACACAACUCUGGGUAAUAUAUCUCAUGGUAACCACACAACGCGGUGAGUGUAGAUGAUUCUGAGAAUAAUGAGUAAGUGUGGGAAGUCUGACUUUCUGGAAAUGUAACACUGAAGACGAACAAACACCAAAAAGCCCAUUUAGACCCAAUCACCCUCUUCAAAGUAAGUUAUUAAAUGUUGUCCAGUUUGUAACAUUCUGUAUGAAAUGGGCUUUUACAUUAUUGAUCCAUGUACAUUUCUUAAAGUGGUUAAAAUUCAUUCAAAUGUUGAUGGUAGUAUGAUAAACUAAAGAAAAUAUAAAUUAGUUUUGAAAAUACUAAUAUUAAUUGGCCAAAAUACCAACAAAUCUCCAAAUUGAUGCCAGUCAUUCAGUCUGUGGUGCCUGGGCUUAGAUAAUACAAGGACCUCCAGCACUGUCUGUGGUGCCUGGGCUUAGAUAAUACAAGGACCUCCAGCACUGUCUGUGGUGCCUGGGCUUAGAUAAUACAAGGACCUCCAGCACUGUCUGUGGUGCCUGGGCUUAGAUAAUACAAGGACCUCCAGCACUGUCUGUGGUGCCUGGGCUUAGAUAAUACAAGGACCUCCAGCACUGUCUGUGGUGCCUGGGCUUAGAUAAUACAAGGACCUCCAGCACUGUCUGUGGUGCCUGGGCUUAGAUAAUACAAGGACCUCCAGCACUGUCUGUGGUGCCUGGGCUUAGAUAAUACAAGGAUCUCCCGCACUGUCUGUGGUGCCUGGGCUUAGAUAAUACAAGGACCUCCCGCACUGUCUGUGGUGCCUGGGCUUAGAUAAUACAAGGACCUCCAGCACUGUCUGUGGUGCCUAGGCUUAGAUAAUACAAGGACCUCCAGCACUGUCUGUGGUGCCUGGGCUUAGAUAAUACAAGGACCUCCAGCACUGUCUGUGGUGCCUGGGCUUAGAUAAUACAAGGACCUCCAGCACUGUCUGUGGUGCCUAGGCUUAGAUAAUAUAAGGAUCUCCCGCACUGUCUGUGGUGCCUGGGCUUAGAUAAUACAAGGAUCUCCAGCACUGUCUGUGGUGCCUGGGCUUAGAUAAUACAAGGAUCUCCCGCACUGUCUGUGGUGCCUGGGCUUAGAUAAUACAAGGACCUCCAGCACUGUCUGUGGUGCCUAGGCUUAGAUAAUAUAAGGAUCUCCAGCACUGUCUGUGGUGCCUAGGCUUAGAUAAUACAAGGACCUCCCGCACUGUCUGUGGUGCCUGGGCUUAGAUAAUACAAGGACCUCCAGCACUGUCUGUGGUGCCUAGGCUUAGAUAAUAUAAGGAUCUCCAGCACUGUCUGUGGUGCCUGGGCUUAGAUAAUACAAGGACCUCCAGCACUGUCUGUGGUGCCUAGGCUUAGAUAAUAUAAGGAUCUCCCGCACUGUCUGUGGUGCCUAGGCUUAGAUAAUACAAGGACCUCCAGCACUGUCUGUGGUGCCUGGGCUUAGAUAAUACAAGGACCUCCAGCACUGUCUGUGGUGCCUAGGCUUAGAUAAUACAAGGACCUCCAGCACUGUCUGUGGUGCCUAGGCUUAGAUAAUAUAAGGAUCUCCCGCACUGUCUGUGGUGCCUGGGCUUAGAUAAUACAAGGACCUCCAGCACUGUCUGUGGUGCCUGGGCUUAGAUAAUACAAGGACCUCUAACACUGUCUGGUGCCUGGGCUGAGUUAAUACAAGGAUCUCCAGCACUGUGAAUGGGAUUAUUACAUCUAUUGUGGUGAAAAAGUAGAGAUGAAACCAAACAUUAUUUGAAGUGACACAUUUAUUAACACAUUUCAAAAGGGGUCAGACCGUGUCACCAAACAUACAUUAGAUUCAGCAUUCCCACUAUAAACAAGAGGCAACAAGAAAUGUCCAGCUGUCAACGAGUCUUCAUUGUAUGAAAUAAAGGAUUGUCCACUCUGACAUGUACCUGUGUCUCUUAUAGAGUUCUAUUUACCUAGGAAAUAUCAAACCGCACAUUAUGGAGAGUUUCACUAAACACCACAUCAGAAUGGUGAAGUGAGAUGGUGCCAGUUGCAGUGGUGUCACUUGAUAACCUCAAUACCACAAUUGUCCAGGCUGGGCCAAUCCGUUCUGUGCUGGGCCAAUCCGUUCUGUGCU